UACAGCCUUGCACAUGCUCAGAUAUACAGUGUUGACAGAUAUAUGGGAAACCAUGAAGUGACUGUUGAGUUAUAGUGAUGCCACAAGCUUAUAAACAAAGAAAAAAACUAACACUCGAUCCCAAUGUUGCUCUUUUCCCCCAUAAAUUCUGAGCAUAAUUGUGUGACAGGGUGGGUGCACUUGCUGCUAAUUCUGAUCUUCUCCAUUGUGUCAGCCCCAAUCUUUCCUGUCUGGGCCAUCUGCAUGGUUUCUUCAAUGAUUGUUUCCUGAUUUUCUAUAGCGAGGAAGUGUGAGGAAUUACCUCUUCAAAGGGAUGUGUGCCCCACCAGCACUAAUCCCCAGUUAAUGGCCAGUAGGAGCAAUAGACCCCAACAACCUCACAUCCUGCACAGGAUCCAUGUACAUAAUUCCUUCGCCAGGUUCGAAAACAGUAAGUGCCAAUUUGCGAAAAUACAAAACCAGCGGUGUUUGCAGAAAGGGAAUCUGCAUCCUUGAGGUGACAUUCCAUAAAGGUCUGGGUUAAGUGCAAUGGCCUAACGACGUUAGGUGGAAGAACGAAAGCUGCAAUCAUGAUCAUUAUAAACCACCACCUUUACUGUCAACAAAGCAAUUUAAAAAAGGCUCAAGUAGUAAUUAGUGAUAACGUUCCUUAUGGCAGGGUUAAGGCUGCUGAAAAACAGACACAGCUCUCCCUGGUGGCCUCGGGCUGAACCAACAGACCGUAAUUGGACUCUCAACCCUCCAAUUUACAGAAUUAGGGAAAGAAAUCAGUCUGUCUUAUUCUGGUGAUUUGUGCUUUGGACAAACACAUUUGACAAGUAAAGCUUAAAGACUGGCAAAAGCCGAGAUUCUGUAAAGUAGAUCAUGUUCAAAAGCACCGCAGUAAAAACCCACUUCCUAUUAAACCCAAGUAUCAGUACACUUCAGUACUUCAUAUUUAAAUAGUUACUCCUACACAAGCUCAAGUAAUUGGGAUUAAUUUAAUGAAACAUGGAUGUUGGUGCUGCACACAUGUAGCGCAGAUGCCACUGAGCCUUGGGGAAGUGCAAAUACGCCACGUUACUGUCACUGAUCUCUCUGGCUGCUUUGCAAUGAUUUAGCAUUUGCUCAAAUUAUUCAGACAUCACAGUUUCCGCCAUGUGACCUGUCAGUGCUCAUUACAGCCCGGGUGAGUCUGAAGAUGUCUGACACAGCGAGGCCAACGGCGGCAGUCGGACGGGUGGAAAACAUCAGCAUGUUUCAUUCAAAUUUAAGCAAAUUGAAGCUCCACGCUGCAGUUCAACAAGACGUUUGUUGUACAGGCCUUGUUUUCUGCUGCCGCACUUCGAAGCAGCUGCAAAAACACAACCAGUGUUGUAGUAUUAUACUAUGGAUUAUUUCCAGGUAACAAAACAUUAAUUUAUACAUAUCAAUGUAAAAUGCAUAAUAUAAAUCCUGCAUAUUAUAGGUACAGUUCUACUAGCUGUAGCUGUAAUCUCAUAAAAGUUUUUCCCUUUACUCAGAGUGAAGCCAAAGCACCCAGUGUCCGCCCUGCUGUCCCGAGCAUUUGUUCCUUCAGCGGGACUGCACACGUACGUAAAAGCAGCAUCACUGCAAACGAGUGCUGUAUGAGGCUGAGUGGUGUCUGUGAUCUCCUCUCUAAACCCUGGGGGGCAGCAGAAGACCUUCAUUUCUAAACGAGCGGAGCUGCUUAGGGCUGACUUAACACCGCUGUCAACUACCGCUGCGGCUCAUGGCAGGACACGAGUCAGGUUGCUAAUAAAACCUUGCAAAAUAAAUAAACAUUUGGUCUGAAGAACAAACGAAAGGAAUGUGUUUUGAGAUCUGACAGUUGUUUUUACAAAUGCACACAAUCUACUGUAACUAAAGAAAUGUGAAUUCAUAUUUAUAUAUUUAAUAAAUACAGACAGUUUUUACUCGACUGUAAGAUUAUUGUGUGAUUGUCAACAAUAUGGAUUUUUCUGUCAUUGCAUAAAACCAUA